rfam:Ciona savignyi cont_36588, whole genome shotgun sequence.
GCUUAUCACCAUUCCAGAUUGAAUAUACCCGAUCUCGUCUGAUCUCGGAAGUCAAGCAUUCUCGGGCUUGGUUAGUACUUGGAUGGGUGACCGCUUGGGAAUACCAAGUGUGAUAAGCA